rnacentral:misc_RNA from 1 species
GUGAGUCAUCGAAUCUUUGAACGCAUAUUGCGCUCUUUGGUAUUCCGAAGAGCAUGCUUGUUUGAGUAUCAGUAAACACCUCAACCUCCUCUUGAUUUUUCAAAAGGAGGGUGGACUUGAGCUAUCCCAACAACCUUUACCGGUAGGCGGGCGGCUUGAAAUGCAGGUGCAGCUGGACUUUUAUCUGAGCUAAAAGCAUAUCUAUUUAGUCCUCGUCAAACAGGAUUAUUACUAUUGCUGCAGCUAACAUAAAGGAUAAUUGUCCUCAUUGCUGACUGAUGCAGGAUUUUACGACACUUUAUGUGUUGUUCAACUCGAUCUCAAAUCAAGUAAGACUACCCGCUGAACUUAAGCAUAUCAAUAAGCGGAGGA